UGGCUUUAUUUCUCAGGAUUGUCUUUGGCAAAUAGAGCCCUGCUGUGGCACCCUUGGACCAACAAGCAAUAUCCCAGGCUGCACCAUGACUUGCACCUUGGCUGCUCCUUUGAUCCAUGCUCAGAGGGAAAUUGCAGCUGGUUAUCCCUGGCAAGGCUGAGUUUGAGACACAAGGCUUGCUUUCCAUUGAUGGCCAAGGCCAUCAACCCCAAUUCCCUAAAAACACAGCACAAGCUGAUCAGACUAGACACUAACAAAACCAGAAUAAGAGAGGUGUUGGGUCCCACUUCAAGAGAGAAGGAUCAUGCUGCAGAUGCCCAGUGGUGCUGAACGUCACAGCUGAAACCACAACUUGCCUGCCAGGGGCAGAGGGAAGAUGGAUCAUCUUCCACAGCAGGGAGGGUGCAGGGAUGCAGUGAUGGGCUGUGCUCCAUGUAGAGAACAGCUGGAUGAGGAAACUAGUGAGGGAAGGCAGCAGCUCCUGUAUCUCCCUCUCCCCAGCACAGAGCAAGCUGCUGCACACCCAGGUGGGACAGGGACAGCACCUGUGAGAUUGACACUGGUCCUCCAUGUGGAAUUGCUAAUGUGGAGACUCUCCACAGUAGACUAAAUUUCCUACUGAAACAGUGAGAAGUCACAUUUCCAAAUCACAAGUUAUCUUUUAUUAAAAUGUAGUAUUCUUUGUGGCCAGUGCUGAUGUACCCAUAAGGACCCUCCUUAGGCACAUACUAUAUUAUUAUAUCCCCUGAGCCCAGGGGAAAUGAUGCAUACCCUCAGCCUGGAAAGUAUUGCAUACAAAAAAUGUGACAGAAGUUAUGCCAGUACCUCAUUAUACAUGGUUAUCCUGCUGCUAUACACAAAUUACUCUGAAAACACCAGAACUACAAACCAUAUAGACUCCUCUUUUAUUUUUCUUUUUCACAUUUCCCUGCAGUUUCCUUAUGGUUUUGAUGAAGUCUUUGUGUUUUGGGAGUAGUAUUCACACAAUGUGUUAGUCAUUGUGCAAGAAGCUAAGUGCAUUAAGGCUAACUGAAUGAGGAUCAGGAAGAAGGCUGGAAUUAAUAUCUUGGGGUACAUCUCAGUUAUGGGAAUCACAACAUUCUUGCCUGUGUCCAGUGGAGAACAGAUCUUAAGGGUAUGGAUACCAUGGCAGUAAGGAGCUGCCAACAGCACAGACUGACUUGGAGAUGUGAAUAUGUGUUUAAACUUUCUCUAAGGGAGGAAACAAUGCUUAAAACUGCACACAGCUUAUUUCCAUGCCUUUGUGUGAAGAAUAAAAUUAUCCUGUGUUUUGAAAUAGAGCAAAACAGCUGUUUAUGUAAAUUAGCUAAUGCAGUUCAAGAAAAAAAUCAAUGUUUCUAGAAAAUCAAUGGACUUAAUAGACAGCUGUUGAAGAAAGCAUGAACAUGGCAAUAUUUUAUAAAUUCAGCUGUUUGGAAGCUGGAGGCCUUUUCCUAGUUUUGUUUUGUUUUGAUUUUUUUUCUUUAAGUCUCAUAAAACGUAGUGCUUGAAUAGGUGAUACACAGACUGUUAAAAUGUCACUUCAAUUCACUAGAUGAAAGUUAACAAAUCCUACAUGCUGAAGCAAUGUGAAACCAAAUUUAACAAAAGUCAGGUGGCUGUUAUUUGUGUACUCUAGCACGAGUGCUGGCAACUGUGCAGUGAUAGAGGAUCAAAGCAAAACAAACAAAACCUUACAGUGCUUCUAUGCUUCCCCAAAACAAAACAACAGUAAUUAAUGUUGGAUAAAACACUUUUGGCUGUAAACUGCUAAAUAUACUCACAGAAUACAUUAUCCUCCCAAAGUAGCUGUUAUUCAUUAAAUAAAUUAUUCAAGAAUAGUCUUUUGCAGUAUUUGACCAUCUCUCUAUCUGGUUGAAAGCCAACUCAUUGAACAAAUUGUUUGAAAGAUAGCAGCUUGAUUCAUGUAUAAUGUAUUUGAAAAGCUUCUUUUCUGGUUCUUGCCAUCUCUGCUGAGACUAAGUGAUAUCCUGUGCUUUUAUUAAUAAUUUGUCAUAUGGCUAACAAAAAUGGAUAUAGGCAGCAUUAAAGGACAGGAUCUGACUUCUUGUCAGUGGGGGUUUUACCUUUCACUUUAAGUGGGUUCAGGGUUUCAACUGAAGUAUUUAAUGGUGACUUUGAAAUGUGAUAUGCAUUGUUAGUGUAUUUUUUUGUCCAUAUUCUAAGGAACUGAUUCUAUUCUAAUAUUCUAUGGUGAUGACAGUGUGCCAUAAUAUUUGGGUAUAAAUUUUCAAUAGAUGAUUGAUAUAGAAAUAGAAUCAUUAUCCAAGAUGAACAGAAAUGUUUGUGUUAGCUACUUCUCUUAAGAGUCAUUCAUUGAGCUUAUCUCAAUCUGUAAAUCACAGCAGGUGUGGAAAUUGCAGUAUGAAUACA